AGGAAGAAGUAAAAUUGUAAAAGAAACGCGCCGGGUCAGCCCAAUUAGCUUAAGAAUAUUGCACCGAAAUAAAACACACAUAUAACUCAAGAUUAUACAUACCAAGACUCAUUUUAGGGUUUGGCUUGUUACGUACACCGUGUAGCAGAGACGCAGCUAUGGGGAGGAGACCUGCUAGGUGUUAUAGACAGAUCAAGAACAAGCCAUACCCAAAGUCACGUUUCUGUCGUGGUGUUCCUGAUCCUAAGAUCAGAAUUUAUGAUGUCGGCAUGAAGAAGAAAGGUGUUGACGAGUUUCCAUUCUGCGUCCAUCUUGUUAGUUGGGAAAAGGAAAAUGUAUCAAGUGAGGCAUUGGAAGCUGCUAGGAUUGCCUGCAACAAGUACAUGUCGAAAUUCGCCGGAAAGGAUGCAUUCCACUUGAGGGUCAGAGUGCAUCCGUUCCAUGUUCUUAGGAUCAACAAGAUGCUCUCGUGUGCUGGAGCUGAUAGGCUUCAGACUGGUAUGAGAGGAGCUUUUGGAAAGCCACUUGGAACAUGUGCUAGGGUUGCUAUUGGUCAGGUGCUUCUUUCUGUCCGGUGCAAGGACAACAAUAGCCAUCAUGCACAGGAGGCACUACGUCGUGCUAAGUUCAAGUUCCCUGGUCGUCAAAAGAUCAUCAUCAGCAGGAAGUGGGGUUUCACCAAGUUUAACCGAGUCGAUUACCUCAAGUACAAAUCAGAGAACAGGAUUUUGCCUGAUGGUGUGAAUGCUAAGCUUCUUGGAUGCCAUGGACCAUUGGCGAAUCGUCAACCUGGAAGAGCUUUUAUUGAUGCUAGUACUCCUACUUCUUAGGUGGUCUGUUUUUUUUCGAACAUAUUGUCUUUCACUACAAUAGUUGUGUAGGAUCGGUUUUAAAUCAUGCCAGAUUGUUUUUAGUAUUCGCGAAUUACCUUUACUAAAUCAUGCCGGAUUGUUUUUGUAUUCGCGAAUAACGACUGAAUGGCUCUUAAUAGUUUAAAUUUCUGUUGCUCUUA